CUCCUACGGGAGGCAGCAGUCGAGAUCUCUUUCGAGUGGCAGCAAUGGGGAUUAUUGGACAAUGGGUGGAAGCCGGAUCCAUUGGCGGCGUAAAAAUGUGGAAGGCUUUAGAGUUGUAAAUUUCUUUGGCGGGGGGGGAAGAGGGCGGUACCUCCAGAACAAGCCAAGGGCAAAUACGUGCCAGCAGCCGCGGUAACAGUAGGGGGCGAGCGUUUUCCGGAUUUACUGGGUGUAAAGGGCGCGCCGGCGGGAUCGGAAGUCAGAUGUGAAAGAUCAAGGCUUAACUUUGACAGGUCAUGUGAAACUUUGGGAUUUGAGUAUCGGAGGGGAAAGUGGAAUUUCUAGGGGAGCGGUAAAAUGCACAGAGAUUCGGAGGGAAACCGGUGGGGAAGGGGAGUUUUUCGAUGACAACUGACGGUGAGGCGCGAAAGCGUGGGGAGCAAACCGGAUUAGAUACCCUGGUUUUCACGCCGUAAACGAUGAAUCAUGGGGUAGGGAGAUGGACUCGCU
rnacentral:rRNA from 1 species